rnacentral:misc_RNA from 1 species
GAUGAAGAACGUAGCGAAAUGCGAUAAGUAAUGUGAAUUGCAGAAUUCAGUGAAUCAUCGAAUCUUUGAACGCACAUUGCGCCCCCCAGUAUUCUGGCGGGCAUGCCUGUCCGAGCGUCAUUUCAACCAUCAAGCCCUGCUUGUGUUGGGGUCCUGCGGCUGCCCGCAGGCCCUGAAAACCAGUGGCGGGCUCGCUAGUCACACCGAGCGCAGUAGCACAUCUCGCUCAGGGCGUGCGGCGGGCUCCAGCCGUUAAAGCACCCACCUUUCGCAAGGUUGACCUCGGAUCAGGUAGGAAUACCCGCUGAACUUAAGCAUAUCAAUAAGCGGAGGA